rnacentral:rRNA from 1 species
GAUGAACGCUAGCGGCAGGCUUAAUACAUGCAAGUCGAGGGGCAGCGCGGUAGCAAUACUGGCGGCGACCGGCAAACGGGUGCGGAACACGUACAGAACCUUCCUUUAAGCGGGGGAUAGCCCAUAGAAAUGUGGAUUAAUACCCCAUAGUAAUAUUGGUUGGCAUCAACUGGUAUUUAAAGAUUUAUCACUUAAAGAUGGCUGUGCGGCUGAUUAGGUAGUUGGUCGGGGAAUGGCCCACCAAGCCAACGAUCAGUAACUGGUGUGAGAGCACGACCAGUCACACGGGCACUGAGACACGGGCCCGACUCCUACGGGAGCAGCAGUAAGGAAUAUUGGUCAAUGGACNCAAGUCUGAACCAGCCAUGCCGCGUGAAGGAU